UGCAAGUACGGGACUGCGGGCGCGGUGAUACGUACCGUCCAAGCGUUAGUCGGAAUGAGUGGGCUUAAAGGGUGCGUAUGCGGCGCUGUCAGUCGGGGGUGAAAUGCGAGGGCUCAGCCCUGGACCUGCGCCCGGUACUGCAGUGCUCGAGGGAGACAGAGGUAAGCGGAACUGAUGGUGGAGCGGUGAAAUGCGUUGAUAUCAUCAGGAACACCAGUGGCGAAAGCGGCUUACUGGGUCUCUUCUGACGCUGAGGUACGAAAGCUAGGGGAGCGAAGGGGAUUAGAUACCCGAGUAGUC
rnacentral:rRNA from 1 species